rnacentral:misc_RNA from 1 species
UACUUUGAAGACAACCAAGACCCUUAUGAGCUGUAAAGGGUAUGAAAAGAUUGCUAAAGCACUUAAAGAGUGUCUGACAUACUUUAAAGCAUCUGUCAUGUCUUCUUAAAAGAAGAUUCUCACUUAUGUCUGCCACUUCUCAAUGACGUAAGCAAUGACGAUUGAUGAUUCCUUUCAACACUCUAUAUGAAGAGCUAGUUUUAAGGUAAUGUGAAGUAGAACUGUUCAAAAGAGAAUUGAUUAGUGAA